rnacentral:rRNA from 1 species
UACGGAGGGUGCAAGCGUUAAUCGGAAUUACUGGGCGUAAAGCGUGCGUAGGUGGUUGAUUAAGUUAUCUGUGAAAUCCCUGGGCUUAACCUGGGCAGGUCAGAUGAUACUGGUUGACUCGAGUAUGGGAGAGGGUAGUGGAAUUUCCGGUGUAGCGGUGAAAUGCGUAGAGAUCGGAAGGAACACCAGUGGCGAAGGCGGCUACCUGGCCUAAUACUGACACUGAGGUACGAAAGCGUGGGGAGCAAACAGG